rnacentral:sRNA from 1 species
AUAAUUUGACUUGUAUCAAAGAUUUAUUGGAUGUAAAGUAAUUCACUAGUUAUUAGAGAUUAUAUUUAACACCUAUAUAAUCUGUAAUAGCUGGUGAAUUUUUUUAUUUUCAAGAGCACAAUAUUUUAAUGGAGGUACCACAAAAUGAACAAAGGUACAGUGAAAUGGUUUAACGCAGAAAAAGGUUACGGAUUUAUCACAGGAGAAGACGGAGCAGAUGUAUUUGUACAUUUCUCAGCUAUCCAGGGAGACGGCUUCAAAUCUCUUGAAGAAGGUCAGGCAGUUUCUUAUGAUUUAACAGAAGGCGCUCGCGGAAUGCAGGCAGCUAACGUUG